CCUACGGGAGGCAGCAGUGGGGGAUAUUGCACAAUGGGGGAAACCCUGAUGCAGCGACGCCGCGUGAGUGAAGAAGUAUUUCGGUCUGUAAAGCUCUAUCAGCAGGGAAGAAAUGACAGUACCUGACCAAGAAGCCCCGGCUAACUACGUGCCAGCAGCCGCGGUAAUACGGAGGAUGCGAGCGUUAUCCGGAUUUAUUGGGUUUAAGGGGUGCGCAGGCGGUCUGUACAGUCAGCGGAAAAAGCCCGGGGCUCAACCCCGGCCCGCCGUUGAAACUGGCAGUCUCGAGUUGGAGAGAAGUAUGCGGAAUGCGCGGUGUAGCGGUGAAAUGCAUAGAUAUCGCGCAGAACUCCGAUUGCGAAGGCAGCAUGCCGGCUCCACACUGACGCUGAGGCACGAAAGCGUGGGUAUCGAACAGGAUUAGAUACCCCAGUAGUC
rnacentral:rRNA from 1 species